AAUUCCGGAGAACCUCUUAGGAGUACCGAAGGUGCAAUGCGCUUGUUCAGCGCAGAAUCUCUCAGGUAAAAGGACGGAGUUG
rnacentral:ncRNA from 1 species